rnacentral:tRNA from 2 species
AGGGGUAUAGCUCAAUUGGUAGAGUAACGGUCUCCAAAACCGUCGGUUGUGGGUUCGAUUCCUACUGCCCCUG